CCUACGGGUGGCAGCAGUGAGGAAUCUUGGUCAAUGGACGAGAGUCUGAACCAGCCAAGUAGCGUGAAGGAUGACUGCCCUAUGGGUUGUAAACUUCUUUUAUCUGGGAAUAAAAUGUUUCACGUGUGGGAUUUUGUAUGUACCAUAUGAAUAAGGAUCGGCUAACUCCGUGCCCGCAGCCGCGGUAAUACGGAGGAUCCGAGCGUUAUCCGGAUUUAUUGUGUUUAAAGGGAGCGUAGGUGGAUUGGUAAGUCAGUUGUGAAAGUUUGCGGCUCAACCGUAAAAUUGCGGUUGAAACUGGCAGUCGUGAGUACAGUAGAGGUGGGCGGAAUUCGUGGUGUAGCGGUGAAAUGCUUAGAUAUCACGAAGAACUCCGAUUGCGAAGGCAGCUCACUGGACUGCAACUGACACUGAGGCUCGAAAGUGUGGGUAUCAAACAGGAUUAGAUACCCCUGUAGUC
rnacentral:rRNA from 1 species